rnacentral:rRNA from 1 species
CAAUCAGACUCCGUGAUAGCUGGUUCUCCCCGAAAUGCAUUUUGGUGCAGCGUCGCGUGUUGCCCGGCGGAGGUAGAGCUACUGGGUGGCUGAGGGGCCCCACAGGGUUACUGACGUCAGCCAAACUCCGAAUGCCGUGCGGGUUCCAGCGUGGCAGUGAGACCGCGGGGGAUAAGCUUCGUGGUCGAGAGGGAAACAGCCCGGACCGUCGGCUAAGGCCCCUAAGCGUGCGCUAAGUGGGAAAGGAUGUGCGGUCGCGCAGACAGCCAGGAGGUUGGCUUAGAAGCAGCCAUCCUUGAAAGAGUGCGUAAUAGCUCACUGGUCGAGUGGUCGUGCGCCGACAAUUCAGCGGGGCUCAAGCGCGCCGCCGAAGCCGCGGACCCGCACACCCGUGUGCGGGUGGUAGGGGAGCGUCCUGCGCGGGGCGAAGCCCGGGGGUGACCCGUGGGUGGACCGCGCGGGAGUGAGAAUGCAGGCAUGAGUAGCGAGACCGGGGUGAGAGUCCCCGGCGCCGAGAGACCAAGGGUUCCAGGGGCAGGUUCGUCCUCCCUGGGUGAGUCGGGACCUAAGGCGAGGCCGACAGGCGUAGUCGAUGGAUGACGGGUUGAUAUUCCCGUACCGGUCAGGCACCGACCAUGCUGACGCGCGGGUGCUGACCCACGCCGCCGCUGCCGCUGUUGCGCCCACCCCCCAUUGCGGGGGGCGGGCCGCGGCCGGUGGUCUGGGGACCCUCCGCGCUGGUAGGCAAGCGUGUUAACAGGGGUGACGCACAGUGGUAGCCCGGCGGGCCUGAUGGCUUGGCCCGUUCAAGCGCGCAGCCCGGUCCCCAGGCAAAUCCGGGGACCAGCCCCCCACCGGGGGGCGCGGGUGAGGCGUGAUGGUGACCCCGCCCACGCGGCGGGGGAUAACAGGGUGAUCCUGGGGUGCCGAGAAAAGCCUCGACGCGAUGGUGACGGCCGCCCGUACCCCACACCGACACAGGUGGUCCGGCAGAGUAUGCCUAGGCGAGCGAGUGAACCGUGGUGAAGGAACUCGGCAAAUUGCCCCCGUAACUUCGGGAGAAGGGGGGCCCGGGCCCUGAAGCAGCAGGCCUGCUAGGGGCGAGGGCCGCAGAGAGCAGGGGGGAGCGACUGUUUACUAAAAACACAGGUCCGUGCGAAGCCGCAAGGCGAUGUAUACGGACUGACGCCUGCCCGGUGCUGGAAGGUUAAGAGGAUCCCUCAACCCCACCCGUGGGGUGAAGGGGUGAGUUCAAGCCCCAGUAAACGGCGGUGGUAACUAUAACCAUCCUAAGGUAGCGAAAUUCCUUGUCGGGUAAGUUCCGACCUGCACGAAUGGCGUAACGACUUCCCCACUGUCUCCACCACGGACUCGGCGAAAUUGCACUACGAGUAAAGAUGCUCGUUACGCGCAGAAGGACGGAAAGACCCCGGGACCUUUACUACAACUUGGUAUUGGCGUCCGCCACGGCUUGUGCAGGAUAGGUGGGAGACCACGACCCCGAUCGCGCCAGCGACGGGCGAGUCACUGUUGAGAUACCACUCUGGCCGCGGCGUGCGCCUGAACCUCGGCCCGUGACCCGGGCCAGGGACAGUGCCUGGCGGGUAGUUUAACUGGGGCGGUUGCCUCCCAAAAAGUAACGGAGGCGCUCAAAGGUCCCCUCAGCCUGGUCGGCAACCAGGUGGCGAGUGCAAGUGCACAAGGGGGCUUGACUGCGAGACCGACGGGUCGGGCAGGUGCGAAAGCAGGAACUAGUGAUCCGGCGAUCCCGCGUGGGCGGGUCGUCGCUCAACGGAUAAAAGGUACCCCGGGGAUAACAGGCUGAUCCUGCCC